UGCAGCUGCAGUACGUACACAUGUAUAACACUGAAAUCGUUAGCUUCAUGUAGAGGAUUUCAAACGUUUUAAAGGAUAUAACAUCCAUCUGUCGUUUGAAAGCACUUUCUCGUUUUCAGCGCGGAUUCGCUGAAGCAUGUCUGUGUUUGGAGGAGUGUUCCGUCAGUCCUCGGCUCGACUCUUCAGCACAGGCACGUGCGCUAGAAUACGAAUGCACGCUGUUCCCAAACUGAGAGAGCUGGACCGAUGGACGGAGAAGAGAAGCAUGUUUGGAGUUUAUGACAACAUCGGGAUCUUGGUGCUGCAGCAGACUAUGAGUUGAGCUUCAAAAACAACCUGUGACAAUUAUUUUAUUUAACUGAACUCAAUAGAUAAUUGAAUUCUAAUUCUCCUUAGAUGGUUUAGAAGAGCAGUCUCGGUAAUAUGCAUUUCAUAUUACAGUGUUUGACAAGCUACAAUAAAGGUGUUCUUUUCUUUUUCUUUUCAUAUGCUGUUUUUGGUGUAUUGCACGCGAGUCAGUUUGUCUCAACACAAAAGUCGUAAGAAAAUGUGUGCAGCCUGCAUAUUUGUGUCAGAACUUUGCAUGCACAUGCAUUACCCUAAAUGAGAAAUAUUACAAAAAAUAAACAGUUUAACCAGUAUUUCAAGCAGUUUGAAAAGUGAAUGCAGGUCAAACUGAA